CCUCCUUUGGGGAGUAGCCUUCCGUUCUGACGGAACAAUCAUCAACAUAAUUGAAGCAAAAUCUUCAUGGUGAUUGUGACUGACCAUUACUCCGGUCAGUUUGGCGAGACCAUAGGCAAAUCGACAUGAACCGGGGUGGGGCGUGUCUGUUUGUCUUUGGUUAGCAUA
rnacentral:sRNA from 1 species